AUUGAACGCUGGCGGAAUGCUUUACACAUGCAAGUCGAACGGCAGCACGGACUUCGGUCUGGUGGCGAGUGGCGAACGGGUGAGUAAUGUAUCGGAACGUGCCCAGCCGUGGGGGAUAACGUAGUGAAAAUUACGCUAAUACCGCAUACGAUCUAUGGAUGAAAGCGGGGGAUCGCAAGACCUCGCGCGAUUGGAGCGGCCGAUAUCAGAUUAGGUAGUUGGUGGGGUAAAGGCCCACCAAGCCAACGAUCUGUAGCUGGUCUGAGAGGACGACCAGCCACACUGGAACUGAGACACGGUCCAGACUCCUACGGGAGGCAGCAGUGGGGAAUUUUGGAUAAUGGGCGAAAGCCUGAUCCAGCCAUUCCGCGUGCAGGAUGAAGGCCCUCGGGUUGUAAACUGCUUUUGUACAGAACGAAAAGGUUUCUACUAAUACUAGGAGCUCAUGACGGUACUGUAAGAAUAAGCACCGGCUAACUACGUGCCAGCAGCCGCAGUAA
rnacentral:rRNA from 1 species